CUGGCAAAGGCCCCUCUCUGCGUGUUCACAGCGGACCUUGAUUUAAAUGUCCAUACAAUUAAGGCACGCGGUGAAUGCUAAGAACGAGGCUGGAAGAGCUU
ensembl:miRNA aca-mir-124b aca-mir-124b